UACCUGCGGAACUUAAGCAUAUCAAUAAGCGGAGGACAAGAAACCAACAGGGAUUGCCCUAGUAACGGCGAGUGAAGCGGCAACAGCUCAAAUUUGAAAUCUGGCUCUUUUAGGGUCCGAGUUGUAAUUUGCAGAGGGCGCUUUGGCGUUGGCAGCGGUCCAAGUUCUUUGGAACAGGACGUCACAGAGGGUGAGAAUCCCGUACGUGGUCGCUAUCCUUCGCCGUGUAAAGCCCCUUCGACGAGUCGAGUUGUUUGGGAAUGCAGCUCUAAAUGGGAGGUAAAUUUCUUCUAAAGCUAAAUAUUGGCCAGAGACCGAUAGCGCACAAGUAGAGUGAUCGAAAGAUGAAAAGCACUUUGGAAAGAGAGUCAAAUAGCACGUGAAAUUGUUGAAAGGGAAGCGCUUGCAGCCAGACUUACCUGUAGUUGCUUAUCUGGAAUCUUUUCCAGUGCACUCUUCUGCGGGUAGGCCAGCAUCAGUUGAGGCGGUUAGAUAAAGGUCUCUGUCAUGUACCUCUCUUCGGGGAGGCCUUAUAGGGGAGACGACAUGUAACCAGCUUCGACUGAGGUCCGCGCAUUUUGCUAGGAUGCUGGCGUAAUGGCUGUAAGCGGCCCGUCUUGAAACACGGACCAAGGAGUCUAACAUCUAUGCGAGUGUUUGGGUGUCAAGCCCAAGCGCGUAAUGAAAGUGAACGGAGGUAGGACCCCAUUUGGGUGCACUAUCGACCGAUCCUGAUGUCUUCGGAAGGAUUUGAGUAAGAGCAUGGCUGUUGGGACCCGAAAGAUGGUGAACUAUGCUUGAAUAGGGUGAAGCCAGAGGAAACUCUGGUGGAGGCUCGCAGCGGUUCUGACGUGCAAAUCGAUCGUCAAAUUUGGGCAUAGGGGCGAAAGACUAAUCGAACCUACCAUUG
rnacentral:rRNA from 1 species